UGUGAUGGCCAAGUCAUGAAGGAAUCUAUCAGUGGAAUCGGGUGGCUCACAGCCACAAUUUUACACGGUGAUCGUCGACGGCCUUCCACUUUCCAACCCUAUAUAACUGUGCUCCGUCCUGGCCGCCGUCGUUAAGGCUUCCGUUUCCCUCCUGGGUUCUGUCACCUUGCGGCGAAAGAAAGUGUAUGGGAAGGAGGAGUGGGUAUUGAUAGGUUGCGAAGAGGACACUCAUUAUGACAAGACUCUUAUACUUUCUUUGCCUUUCAAAUGUCAUCUUCCUCACUCCAUUAUCCACAACUAACUAAUGUUUCAAAUCUUUGGGGUCCAGAAGGAAGAGCAUAGAGUUUGUUUGCAAGCCCAGCAGCAAAUGAGAAAGAAGGAAGAUAAUGAGGAGUGGAUAGGUACUGUUUCUUACCCCCUUUUCGUAGCCAACCAAGUCCAUUACUUUCCUCUAGUUUUGUAGGAACUAAUGCACAUCUGAAACACAAACAAACUGCACCUAAAGUACUUCAACAAAUUCAAACAAAUUCAAACUUUUAGUUUGGAUCAUCCUCCAUCA